rnacentral:lncRNA from 1 species
UAGCUCGGGGUUCGGGAUGCUUCAUGGAGUGCACGGCCUCAAUAAAUUGUCCUCACUUUCGGAUCACUGUCGUUGUUGAAUAAAUCCCUUCGCCGUGAUGGUGCGUGCGCGGCGAGUUCGCCUAGACCACGGUGACCGCGCUCGGCACUCGUUGGAUCGUGGGAUGGCGCGGUCCGCAAGGAGGCCGGGUACUGCGCGAUCUCGUGGCCAUUUUUCCGUCGUUGCUACUAAUAACAAGAGGAGUGCAGUGAAAAGCCGUGAGGUUUUACGCAGCACAAAUUCUGUGUGCUCCACAGACUUGAUUUGUUCCAUCAUUAUCUAGCUAAUCGCUACGCUAUAUUUCUCCAUUUGAAACGACACAGCAUAUGUGAGCAGUUUUUUUAUCAUGCACCAUCAUGUUUCCUGGGGAGCUCUGCAUUUACUGAACUGUAUUUACCAGUGUUCAAGAAAAUCGUUGACUCGUAACUGCCCAGUUAGUGGCGACACUCCAACCUGACAGUGUUACUAGCUAACUCGAGAGGACGGAAUUCCCCCCCCCCCCACCUGCCCCCGCGUCGUCCUCCUGGGCGACUCGGGUGGCGACUAGGGUUCCCCCCGCGCCGCCACCCCCUUUUCCCGUUCUCCCUCGCCGCCACCUGAGGGUCUCGCCCGUAUAUUGCCCGCGGACGCCGGGGAAGGUGGCGGUGAGGCCUCUGACGCUUCGUCCAUGGCGGAGGUCUUCGGAUCUGGGGCGGCGGCCCUGUUUGGCGAGGCAGCGGCGUCCUCUCGGCUGGCGCCGGCUGCGGGUGAUUCUGGCCGGAUUGCUCGACCAUGCGGGUGGUGAGGCUUGGGACUACGGGAAACCGUUUGGUGGGCUUGUCCGGCCCGGCGGCAGCGACGCCUUUGGCGCCGUUCUUCCUCCCUGGAGGUGCCGCCGAGGUCCUCCCCUCUCCACCCUCGUUCCCCUCCCGGGUGAAAGCCCAAAAUCCGGCUAGGAUUGGGCGGCAACGGCGCGUUUCGUGUCGUGCUCCUCCUUGGAGGUGCCGCCUGGGGAGGGCUCGUGUUCGGGUGAGGUGUGUCAAAGGUCCGAGCUUUGGGCGGCUCUGGUUGUCUGGCGGCGGCGGUUUCGUCGGGAUUUGCUUGGCCGACAUUGUCCUCGUUCCCCUCAAGGGUGGUGCCCACUGGGUGUGGCGUGUUUGGCUCAAGGCUGGCGGUACGGCGCCUUCGAUCCGGCGGUAGGGGAUAGGGUUCCCCUUCCCAGCAUUAGCAACACGGGCCCGACGGUGGGCUCCCGGUGCUCUUCUUCAACGGCCGACGGGUCUUGCUCCUCGACGUUCUGCGGUCUUCCUUGAUGUCCUUGCCGCUCUUCUUUAGCAGCUGCUCCCGGUGGCUUUCCGGCAGUCUACUGGUGUCCUUGGUUGCGGCGGUAUAGUGGAUGUUGUGUGCUCAUUGUCCAUGGUGGUGUGCUCUGCGGUUGCUCCUGGCUCCGAGGUUGCCAUCGCUUCUGCUCUAGGGUGAGCGCUUCUCAGGUCCGCUGUUUCGAUGCCUUUCGAUCCAAGGCGAGAGGGAAGGGUCCCUCUGCGGCGCGAGAGGAGGAAGACGCCUGGUUUUCUUCAUCCUGCGAGUCAGCCUAGUUCAUGCCCACACUCUGUUCUAGCAGGUCUUCAUCCUGCUCUGCCAGUCGCUACCUUUGUUAUCAGUUUUGCUGCUGUCUUCGGCUAGUACAUGCUAUGGGCUCGGUUGUAUUCCUUUCGUGCUUGUGCGCUACGUUGAGUUGUAAGCUUCCUAGAGUGCUCCCUUGUAUCGUUGGGCCGAUGUGGUUUGGUGUAUGUUUGUAAUUCCUGACCGGUUGAUGGCUUUGUUAAUUCAAAGCCGGGCUCUUCGCGAGCCUUCGUUCUAAAAAAAAAACUGCCCAGUUAGCUGAUAAAUAGGGGGUUAAUUUAGUUAUUCCACCGAUAAAUCGGUUAGGAGGCUACUCACGACUCCCUACUCAUCUCGGUCUGCCCCGCACACUGUCAGUGAGAACCGAUAGUUUAAAAUGAGGGAUGUCGUUGGAGGGCCUCCACCUGGUUGGCUGUCCAUCCGCGGACAUUUGAGGACGCUCGUUUAAGGGAUGGUGUUGGAGAUGCCCUAAGCAAUACCAAACCAAUCAGAGAUAAAACAAAAGAUAGGAGAUAUACUUCAUUCAUUUGAAUCAUCACUUAUUUGAAUGUUAGUAACCCAAAAGUAUCUUUUGAAGCAAAUUAUAAAUAUAGUCGUUUUCCUUGUGAUAACGGUCUUGCUGACGCCGACAAUGGCGUAUGUGGACGUCGUUUUCCUCAUGGAGGUGCCAUCAUGGAUCUCGUUUCAACUCCACCAUCUUGUUUCAUGGUUGCCCGGUGGGAACCUAUGAUCGGCCUUGCCCGGUCAGAUGACAGGGCGUGUCCUCACAUCACUUCCUUCUUGAAGGUGUCAUCUUGGAGACCCAUACGAUGGCUACCGUUGCUGCAUGUGGUUGGACUGGGUGUGCUUGGUGGUGGUGGUGCGACCAGAUGGGGGUCGACGGUGGUGUCGUCUUCUCAGGACCUGGCAAAGACACUAUUUGGUGUUGUCGAGCGGCCAAAUGCUUCUUCGUGUCUCUUCUGCAGUGGUGUUCCUUUGGGGUUUGCCGGCAGUGCCUUUGGUGCCGCAGUGCUGCCAUUUGUUCCCCCUCGUGAUGUUCCUCGUGAUGUUCUUCUACACGGUAACCCAGCGAUUCCUCUUCUCACCAAAUGAGCUACCAAGAAUUAUUUGUCUGCCAUCUACUUGGGUCCUUUGUUUUUGUCUGUUUGAAGUUGGAUGUGACCUCCAUUUGCACUCCGCCAUGGUCUAUGACCGGCCUUGGUAGAGAUAUGUUCUUCUAAGGCAGUCUUUGUGAGCAUGUUACUUUGCUACUUCCCANNNNNNNNNNNNNNNNNNNNNNNNNNNNNNNNNNNNNNNNNNNNNNNNNNNNNNNNNNNNNNNNNNNNNNNNNNNNNNNNNNNNNNNNNNNNNNNNNNNNNNNNNNNNNNNNNNNNNNNNNNNNNNNNNNNNNNNNNNNNNNNNNNNNNNNNNNNNNNNNNNNNNNNNNNNNNNNNNNNNNNNNNNNNNNNNNNNNNNNNNNNNNNNNNNNNNNNNNNNNNNNNNNNNNNNNNNNNNNNNNNNNNNNNNNNNNNNNNNNNNNNNNNNNNGUGAAUUGACAUUCUCUCUAUGCAGUUGAGCCAGAGUUUUCCGCUUGGUCAUUCUCACCUCGCCAGAGAAAGACCACCCUAAUGUUUGGUGUUGGAUGGCUCGGAGUUGGUUUUGGUGUAGCUCCCGAUGAUGAACCUGUGUUAUCCAAUAUUUGUGGUUUCGGUGUUGCUGUUGUUGGUGUGCUCACUGGGUGACCGGUGAAUUUGCCUCCAUUUUUUCCUCUGGCGCAUUGUCCUGCCUUCUAGUCUCUCUUCUGCUUGUGUUGGCAUGUAUAUGCUCAUGACAUAACCAUGUGUUAUGUUGUAACUUUGUACUUGGUUUUACGAUCCUAAAUAUAUGUCUCAGGACAAUUCUGAAUUCACACACCAAGGCGAGUCCGAUCUACAGAAAUCAGUCACUCAGAUCUGGAUUACAACUUGGAAAAGAAGUAAAGUAGUUCGCCCUCCUCAUGUUCAACUUUUCAAAUAAUCCAUUUGUGAUGCCCUCUGCAACCUAGCACCAUCAUAUUUAACAACACAUCCAAGCCUCUCACUUACAGGUAGGCCUAACUUUGGAACUUAACCCAUUCGGGUCCCGCAUGCUUCUUUGAUGGUAUGAAGGUUCUCUGUGACCUACAGGGCCCAACUCAUGGCUCUUUAUCCAUAGUAAGCUAUUGCUCAUGGAAUUACAACUUCCUCCGGCUUCAAUUUCGCCAGGCUCGACAAUGGCUUCAACGCCUUUGGUUGCAGUUCCUUCAAGCUCCCCUUUUUUUAGCUUCAGACUGUUCGACCUCUUCAGUUGCUGCACAUUUGGCAAACACAUGGAUGCGUCUCUCUUUUCCCAGUAGCGUUUCAUGUGGGAUGCAACAGCUGGUUCUAUGUAUUUACCUUGUUAUAUAUGGCUUUCGCCUAGGUUUCUCUUAUAAACCGAGUCAACUUGUUGACGUUUUUUUAUGUUUCCCUUACAAUUUGGAUCAGUCUCUUCGCAUAUGGCCAACUCUGAGCAAUAUAGUCAGGUGGCGAAAUCCACCCCUCCCACAGUUCCUAAAAAAGUCGCUUUCACAUGAUAUGCCUAUAAAAUUCUUUUUCUAAAAUAAUGCCCUGGCAAAAUACCGCAGAAUAGCAUAUGCCAUGGAGUAGUGACGCAAGAUUCCAUUCAAAUUCAUGCAGAGUGGGAGUAUCCUCCCCCUAGAGAUCACGAUGGCGGGGGUUCUCUUGUCAUUGUCUUUGGUUUUUCACCCAAAUAUGAAGGAAGUGGAGUUUCAUGCAUGCUUACCGGAUCUUUAUAUUGCAUCAGCCUAUCAUUUUAGAGACUCUUUGUGAAAACUUAAUAUCUGAUGAGGUGCUAUGACAGCCUUCGUGGAUUUAAAGAGAGGCUUUUAGGGGCAAUCGCAAAGUACUCCCUCUGUUUGUAUUUACUCCGCGUAUUAGCUUUGGUCAAAGUCAAGCUUUAUAAAGCUUAACAAAGUUUAGAGACAAAAAAUAUUAACAUAUACAAUAACAAAUUAAUACCAUUAGAUUUAUUAUUGAAUGUACUUUCACAUCAUAUAGAUUUGUUAUGAUAAAUGUUUAUAUUUUUUUCUCUAAACUUGAUCAAAUUUUGCAAAGUUUGUUUUCAGUCAAAUCUAUAUGCAGACUAAAUAAAAAUGAAGGGAGUAAAUCAAUUGUUGUGAUGUUUAUUUUUCUUUACCCUAUAACUAUUUCUUUUGUUGUAUAUAUAUACUCUGAAGAUAAAUGGAUAUCCCACAACCAAACUCUGAGACUUGAACGGUAUUACCUCCGUCCUGGUUUAUUAGUCUCCUAUGUGAUUUGUGUUAAAUUUUGACCAAAAAUUUAACUGACAAAAUGUUAGUGCAUGUCAACAAAAAUUAUAUCAUUGAAUUUGUAUUUGAACUAGUUUUUGAUGAUAUAAUUUUUUAUGACAUGCAUGAACAUUUUUUAGUUAAAUUUAUCAUCAAAAUUAAACACAGAUUACAAUGAGGACCAAUAAACCAGAAAUCUCUACUCUUAAUGGACGACUUCGUGAAUAGUCUGCGCGGUUUUUUUUCGCUGUUUUUUUUCGUCAUCCUCCCACCUCCGUUUUAUUUUCGUCAUCCUCCCACCACUUUCGUCUGGAUUUUUUCGUCCCCCUCUCCCACCCCAUCGGUUUAUUUUUUCACUAUUUCCUUCUAAACAAACACUUUCCUACCAUACAAAAAGACAUAGAUCUAACUUUACUAAAUUACCCAAAUCAAAUGAUCCAUCUCAUCAAUGCAAUUUGCUUUAAGAAACAUAUAAUGGAUGUGAAGGAAACAAAUAACAGACUACCCAAAUCAACCGAUCCAUCCCAUCAAUGCAAUUUGAUUUAGGAAACAUAUAAUAAAUUUUAAGGAAAUAAAUAACAGACUUUAAAGAAAAAUCCAAUUAACUAAUCUCUACUCUUAAAGGCCCCUCGAUUGAUUUUUGUUCCUCGCUUCUUUUCCCAGCACUGAUACAAUGGGAAGAAUUAUAAUCCACCUAUUUGUUCUCCUAUAUAUCCGUACAGGCAACACAACAUAAGCCGUCGCGGAACCCUAGGGCAGGACAUGGUCGCGUUGCGGGCAGCGCGAGCGGCCGUGCGUCUCCCCCGUCAGGUUGUCCUCGGCAGGAACUCGAGACCUCCUCCUGACAGAGCCAAGGCCCUCCGAGGUCCAAGUCGCUGUGCGGCGUGCACCGUGAGCCCCGCGUGUGUGGCCACUGCAUCAGGUAACAACCUCCACAACUCCACAAGCCCCAUCGCAAGUUUGUUUUUUCGUCAUGUGCUCACGACUGAAAGAAUUCUGCUGUAUUUAGGGCAUGUACGGUUGUGCGUCCCUUGCUCCACGUCUCGGCUUUCACGUCCCCUGCUCCGGAUGGACGCACCAAACUCCACAACUUCCCGGCAAUCCGACAACGCCCUGCCGGAUUGAUAUGUAUGACAAUAUUAAUAUUGAACUCUUAAAAUUAAUGUGGCCCCGUUGCAACGCACGGGCGUUCUUCUAGUCAACAUUAAUCUUCCAAUCAAUCAAAGCAACUUAUGAAUGUAAGUCGCUUUCACAAUUUGUAUGCCCGUCUAUCUAUCCUGGAAACUUUCCGUCCAAUAGUGCCCUGGAAUCUUCCCACCCGCGGGUUCGACGGCGACGGGGGGAGGGAUUCCAUUCCGGCAGAGCAUCCUCCCCCCACGUCCCACGAUGUGUGCCGCGUGCCGGCGAGUGGCCAGCUGGCGAGCCUUAUCCGCCGCCUCUGCCUCGCGCGCCGAUGCUGAGGCGGGCCAUGGCGCUGGCGCUGACCCUCGCCGCGGCUGCCAUGUGGGCCCCGCCGCGCACCGGCCACGCGUGCUCCUCCGCCGCCGGCCGCGUGCCGCACGUGACGAGCGCCCACUCGAAGGGACGCCUCGUGGGGGCGGUGGGGCCCGGCUGCCACUCCGCCAGUUCCACUUCCGCUUCCAAGUCCACCACGCGCAGUUCCAGGCGGGACCGCACCGACGCCACCGGAGCCCCAAUGGCCGCCGCCGAUGCCGCCGGAGACCUCAGGUCGGAGUUCCUCGAGGUGCUGCUCAGCCGCCGUCGCGACCGCCAAGGUCAGCCGGCCCCACCCCCACUCCCUUUCUCUCUCCCGCGCGCCGUGGGUUUGCAGCAUAUUCAUCAAUGGCUUUGCUCCGAAUCUGCUCGUGGCAGUGCCUAUGACCGUGGAGCAAGGGAGCCCGGUGAAGGAGCCGCUGUACCAAGGCAACGGGCCUCUGGGGCUCAGAGAGGUCAGGAUCCUCCAUCGAUAAUUUUUUGGUUUUUGCCGGGAGGAUCCUCCAUCGAUCCGAGCAAACACAGUCCGCCUUCCAGAUCGCGGCCACCGUGUUGACUCCACAGUGUCUGAAUUUUUUUCCCCAGGCCAUGGAGUCGUGCCCGAGGAAGGAGGUGGAGGACUUCCAGGAGAAGCUGAUUGAAGAAAAUUUCUACCUGAUGACCGAGGUACUUUUUUGGCCAUGUAGUCAGUUAUAUGAUCAACAGAUUGAUUCGUCGUAGGUGUUAAGUGGAUACAUUGCACAUUGCUUGUUUCUGAAUAUUACACUGCAGACUGCCUGCCUACAUCUUUGCAGUUUAACUUGAGAUCAGUGAAAACCAACUAUACAUUUGAUCUGAGCAGCUCAAAAGGUAGUAGAGGAGCAACAGUAGUGUGCAUUUUGUCUAGGCGUGUCCGUUGCAUCUCAGUGCUCGCCAUAGACAGAUUGAUAUUGCAUCUCAGUACAGUACAUGUGCUUCACUUAUUAGCACAUUGCUGCCAUGUUUCCACCCAGACCCUCUGUCUGAAGCACCCACUUGUGGAGGCCCUGAUAGUUGGUGUAUUAAAUGUGGGUAAAUGUGGUUCCGAGAUCCAGCUCCAGUUGAGUCUACAGUUAACGCGCACUGGCUUGGCUUUAUUGUGCCUCUUGUCCCCUGAACAGCAGAAUUUGUUACACCUUUUUUCUCCCAACAGUCAGGUGAACAGGGACGCCUACCUGUGCUUCUACUGAAACUUAAUGACACUGCUCCUGAAAGAAAGCCCGUUGUUGUAAUACUGCACAGCUCUUACAAAUGCAAGGAAUGGUUGCGUCCACUGCUUGAGGUAAAAUUACCUCUCAUUUCAACCAUACCAGCAUGCCCAUACGAAGUGCGCAUCAAUGUUUAACGCUGGUUAUUGUUCUUAAAACUUGCUUGCACAUUUGCAGGCAUAUGCCUCCAGGGGUUAUAUUGCUGUCGCCAUCGAUUCUCGUUAUCACGGUGAAAGGGCCAGCAGCAAGACUACUUACAUAGAGGUAAUCUACUUACUUCCAUUUAUGUGCCACCGAUUUCAUGAAACGUUCGACAACUGUAGUAUCCACAGUUGGUCUGAUCAUCCCUACUUUCAUGGUUUAAACACAGGCACUGAAUUCAGCUUGGAGGAAUGGGGACACUAUGCCUUUUAUUUUUGACACGGUACCAAAUGUUAUUUCCACCUGUUACAAUUGAUGUUUUGAUUGUUCUAAGUUCUGUCAACAGUGUUCUUCAAUUUGCCCACCAAAUACAUUUUUUUUUAAUAAAUGGAUUGGUUCUGUACCAAUAAAUGUCAAACCGGACAUGUAUAGCACAUGCCUUUAGUUGGGCUGGCCCAGUGCCAUGCCUGGUGGCUGGUGGUCUACUCUUUAACUAACCUGAUGGGUAAGCCACUGUUGUUGGUGUUAGUCCAGCUGUACUGGUGCCAUAACUGCACUAUCUGGGUUGGCACUUCAGUUGAAUUCUGGAUUUAUUCUCCUUGUCUGGUUCUGUCCUUAUGAUUGUCUUCUACUGUAUGCCUUGGUAUAUCAUACUUCAAAACAUGUUACGACUGUUUUUUUGCGAUACUCAGUGAGGAACAUGUGCAGGUGUGGGACUUGAUAAAGCUUGGAGAUUAUCUUAGUGCAAGGGAGGAUGUCGAUCCCUCUAGGAUAGGGAUUACUGGUGAAUCGCUUGGAGGUAUUAUAGAUCAUGAUUGCAUCAUGAUACUGAAUUAAUACGUAGACUUCAGUUUUGGAAAAUUUAUCUUUUUUAUUUGGAGCUGAAUACAGGAAUGCAUGCAUGGUUUGCUGCCUUUGUGGAUACACGGUACAGUGUUGUUGUUCCAAUAAUUGGUGUUCAGGUACACACAACAGUAAUUUGUCGAUAUGGGUGCACAUAGUUUUGUGAUUUGUCCCAUCUAAGUAAAGCAAUGCUCUUUGGUGGCUACAGGGAUUUCAAUGGGCAAUAGAUAAUGACAAGUGGCAAGCUAGAGUUGAUAGCAUUAAGCCUUUAUUUGAAGGUUAGAUACCAUGCAUCCUCUUUAAGAUUGGGCACACACCAUUGAAACAUAUAGAUGACAACUGAAAUAUACUGUAUCAGUUCAGAACAUUUACAUGUAAGUAUCUAUGCCGUUUUGUCUUUCCUGUAGAAGCAAGAAUUGAUUCAGGGAAGAGUGAAAUAGAUGCAGAGGUUGUGAAAAAGGUGACUAUCUGAUUUAGUUGACAUUUAUUUCUGAUUGUUCCAUUAGAAAUGUUUCAUGAUCGUGUAUUGACAUAUUUUUACCAGGUUUGGGACAAGAUAGCACCUGGUAUGGCUUCACAGUUUGAUGCUCCCUACUCAGUUCCUCUGAUUGCACCACGCCCGCUCCUCCUCCUAAAUGGUAAAACCAAAUCAUAUUUCUUAUUCAGUGCUUCUGCUUCGUCCAAUAGUUGUUGCAUAACCCAACAUAUUCAAAAGUCUCACUUCUCUUUUAUGAGUUCAAUGAGCACUUGUCAGGGCUGGGCUUCCAGUCUUCAGUGUAUAUUUUUGUUUUAUUCUUUUAUGGUUGAGGCAGAACUGUUGUUAACCCUUUGUUUGAAAAUUAAUGUUAAUUGAGCAUGUUUCUUGCUGCUGGAGCUUCAUUUACAAAUUACCAUGCAGGUGCUGACGACCCUCGUUGCCCAGUCCUUGGUCUACAAGAACCUGCCUCCAAAGCUGCUGAGGCUUACGAAAAAGCUGGUUCUGCGGAUAAGUUCAAGGUAACAUGCAAUCUACUAUCUUUUCACCGCUCUUUUGAGGCCACACAUGAACUCUCACUAGUUAAAACCUAUGAAGACGAGAUUUUCUUUAAAUAUUGUAACGAGCUUGGUUUAAUACUCCCUCCAUCCAGAAUUAACUGUCGCUGAAAUGAGUGUAUCUACACACUGAAACAUGUCUAGAACUCUAGAUGCACUCAUUUAAGCGACAGUUAAUUCCGGACGGAAGUUUUACUUCUCAAACUUGUAUUCAUUUUUGUCAGGCUAUAUGGCUAAACCUGCUGGAAAAAUAAUAAUUGUUAGUACUAAUAAUCUUGCAUUAUACGUACAUCAAUAUGUUUGUAAAUUUGUCAUUUAAAGGUAUUCUCUCCUGGAGGGAGAAAAAUCAAGAAGUUCUUCUAAUUUAAAGCUAUGGAUUAAUCUGGGCAGUGCUAACUACUAAGAUAGCAAACAUUUAUACAAACCUGGAAAAAGAUGAGACUUCAAUCCUACAAUGUAAAAUAAUAAGAUAAAACAUCGGAAUUAUGCUUUUCAAUGGGUUUGGUACAAGUUUAAAUACAAACUUUCUCCGGGAAAUUUAGAUCUGAUUUAGGCUUAGAGCUAGCUAACAAUGUACUCCCUCCGUCCGGAAAUACUUGUCAUCAAAAUGAACAAAAGGGGAUGUAUCUAGGCGUAUUUUAGUUCGACAUACAUCCCUUUUUAUCCAUUUUGAUGACAAGUAUUUUUGGACGGACGGAGUAAUUAUCUAACUUGGGCAAAAAAGGGUACGAGAUACAGAAAUGGGUGCCAUCUGGAUUUAAAAUGCCAUUCAAAUAAAAGUUGUCUAUUUCUUGACAUGCAACAUGUUUACUUUGCACCAUGAGGUGUGGUUCUAUGUUUGCUCGGACUUUUUUUGCACGAAUCCCAAAGCAAUCACAGUGGUUAUUCUAAGGGCAUAUUAGUAAUCCUAAUUAGAUAGGGGCUUCGUAACUCCAAGUGCAAGUGCCCAAAGCAAAGCCCAUGCAAGAACGAGGCCCAAAGCAAAGCCCAUGCAAGAACGAGUCCACGGUGCCCUCAGCUUCCAAUCUGUUCCCCCGUGCGAUCUCCUCUUUGAGCGCUGCCGCGCGAGCUCCACGCCCAAGGCCACCACCUGGACUCACUGCAAUCCUGCCGCCAGGUCUCCUACCGCAUCUCGCCGCGCCUCCAAUACUUGGAUAAGAAAUAUGAUUAGUUUCUCCUCUGAUUGCACCACGUCUGUGCCUUACGCGUCCAACAUUGUCACCCAUACCCGUGCUGCAACCGGCCGCCUAGUUUCUUCCUGCAACCAUCGCCGCCCGGACUCCUUCGACCCGCACGCAUCCAGUGCCACAACUGCUGACUCUAUCUCUGAUCCUCCCUCCCUCCCAUUUUCCAAUUCUCAUUGCAAGCGCCGACCUGUUUCUAAGCCUGGGUGCCCGAACUCCACUGUUCCAUGGCCUCAGAAAGGUGUGUUUCACUUGAAUCUAUAUUUGUUUAUAUAUCAGUAGAACAAAAAGGAAAACGUCAGUGCACUUAAAUUGGAAAAUUCUUCUUUGUCAUCUGAAGGAGGGCAUCGUUUAGUGCCAGUUAUUGUUGUUUAUUUUUUACUAUAAUGAAUAAGCUUAAUCAGUGGGUAGUGGUUUAAUAUUCUUUACUAUAGCUCGAAGAAAAGUGAGACCGAGGAUACAGUAGAUGCCAUUGUUGUUUAUUUUAUAAAUAUGCUUCCCCAAUUUUGAAAGCCAAAAUUCGGAAAUUGUUGGAUGUACAAAGUGAUAAUAUAUUUUAAAAAGGAGUUUUAUAACUUCCAAACGUUCGUAUUUUAGCAAUAGGCAAGAACGAUCCUUACUUCAUUUUAAUUAUAUACAUGCAUGCAUUAAAAUGACUAAUUUCCUUUCGUGUGCACUCCUACCUCUAAUUACAUGCAUAUAUGCACUAAAAGACGAAAAGCUGAUGUCAUGCUAGAUUUCCCCCUAUUUCAAACUUUAAAAUGUUUUGUAGCUCAAACCGUCGCUCCGAUUGAAAAAACAUUUUCACAUAAAAGAUUUGUCGCAAUGAGACCUUCAAAAGUAGAUCCCAUGUUGAUAUGUUCCGACGACUUUUUUUCGGGUCAAAAGUUAUCACGCCCAUGCUAAAUAAGUUACCACGUCUGUGGUAUAUAAGUUACCAUCUUGUUUAUAUAGAAAUUGCCAGGCCAUAAAAAUGGGGUAUAUCAGGACCGAGACACAUAAGUUAUCAGGUCUUCGAUGAUGAGUUACUAAGUGAUUCACACAAAAAAGUUAACGGGGGAUAUUUCAUCAACCCCCCCCCCCCUCCAUGCCAAAGUUAUCAGGACCGAGGUACAUAAGUUAUCAGGUCAGCGAUGUGUGAGUUACUAUGCUAUUCACAUAAACGUUACCAGGAGAAUAUUUCAUCAACCACCCCUGCCCCUCCCCCACUGGAGGAAAAGUUACGAGGACCGGGGUACAUAAGUUAUCAGGUCUGCGAUUAGUGAGUUGCCAUGCCAUUAACAUUAAAGUUACCAUGGGUNNNNNNNNNNNNNNNNNNNNNNNNNNNNNNNNNNNNNNNNNNNNNNNNNNNNNNNNNNNNNNNNNNNNNNNNNNNNNNNNNNNNNNNNNNNNNNNNNNNNNNNNNNNNNNNNNNNNNNNNNNNNNNNNNNNNNNNNNNNNNNNNNNNNNNNNNNNNNNNNNNNNNNNNNNNNNNNNNNNNNNNNNNNNNNNNNNNNNNNNNNNNNNNNNNNNNNNNNNNNNNNNNNNNNNNNNNNNNNNNNNNNNNNNNNNNNNNNNNNNNNNNNNNNNNNNNNNNNNNNNNNNNNNNNNNNNNNNNNNNNNNNNNNNNNNNNNNNNNNNNNNNNNNNNNNNNNNNNAAGACCGAGGUACAUAAGUUAUCAGGUCUCAAUGUGUGAGUUACCAUGCUAUUCACAUAAAAGUUACCAGGGGAUAUUUCAUCAACUCCCCUCCCUCCGGCCAAAGUAAUUAGGACCAGUGUACAAAAGUUGCCAGGUCUAUGACGUGUAAGUUACCAUGCUAUUCACAAGAAAGUUACUGGGAGUAUAUUUCAUCAACCUCCCCCCACCCCGCCUCCUCCGAGGUAGUGGAGGGAGCGGCCUCGCACCUUCUUGAUCGCGGGCGAAAACUCCUCCUUGACGGCGAGACGGUGGCGGUGGCGUGUGCAUGCGGCCGUACCGGCUGCGUGGCGGGGACGCCAACUCCUCCUUGACCCGGCAUCCAAUCUAGAUGUCGCGGUGGUGCCGGGGUGAGGCUGGCUCCUCCUUCACGUGGCGUCUGACCUGGACGCCAUGAUUGUGCCGGGGCGAGGCCGACUCCUCCUUCACAGGUCGGAGCGGGGACGUCGGCUCGUACUUCACGCGGUGGUGUGCGCGGGGACAGCAGCUCCUCCUUCACACGCGCCGGCGAUGGCUGUGACGGGCCCAUGUAAUGGAGAGACUGCUCCGUCAUUAUCUCAACCGAGAGAGCAGCCAAUGGAAUUAAAUAGCAACUCAAAGCAAGAUGUUCAACAGAGCUCCCAAAAUCAAUAUAUUCACCAAAUAACUUCUAAAAUUCAAAGGGGUGAAUGGACGAGCGUUGUUGGUUCAUCGAUUCACUAGGUUCGGGUAAAAAAUAGUACGUAAGUGCGAAAAAAUGGGAAACUGAAAUAAGUUGUUUGUGUGCAAACGUAGAAGAGUAAACGAGUUAAAUAGCAUAUUUGGUUUCAUUAUUUCAAGAGAAAGAAUGUAGGUCAGGUGGCUCACUAGCCGAGUAAUCUACCUAAGAGGUACACGAUUCGAUUCCUGCUCGUCACGAUAGUUUUUGCACUUCAAUCAAAGUACGCGAGAAAAACAGAGAAAAGAAUAUCAAAUCAGAUCAGAGCUAAGCACAUAACAGCGUUAGGUCGGGUGGUUAGCUUGAGGAUAGCACGCUCAAGAGGUGGAAGGUUCGAAUCCAACGGCAGGAUCACUUUUUUGAGAAAAAAAAUAAAAGCGAGCGACAAGGAGGUGAAGCCCUGGAGCAUCAUUCGGAUCUAUUGCCAAGGUCCGAACGUUCGCUCGUUAUUUUUGUCGUUUUAAAAAAGAUGUUCAUGGAUGAACUUCUCUCAUUUUUAGUAUUGAUUCAUAAAAACUCUUGGUUUUAGAUGCAUACUAAAAAUGAGAGGGGCUCAAUCGGGACCGUCUUUGUUAACAUAUGUUAUCACUUUGUACAUCGCGGCAACUUCAGCUUUCAAAAUUGGGGAUGCACAUUUAAAAAUAAACAGCAAUGGCAACAAUUGCGUCACUUAUUUCCGGAUGGAUGGAGGGAGUAACAGAUUUGAUCUGCUCGCAAACCAACUCUAUCCAAGAACAUAAUGAACUUGAAAAAAAUCUCCACCUGGAAAUGGCUGUGCUGCAUGGAGAGGCGAUGUCGGUGGCUCAUUCAGCCGAGCCUUUUCAGACUCUUCCUCCGUUUUGUAUUUAAGCCGCCCGGCCAGCAUAUUCUUGGAAGCAAUGCGCAGAAAACCAACCGAUUACUGCUGGUAAGCGAUGGGGAGAUGGCACUGACCGCCAGCUACACAUGCGCCUGGUCCACCGUCUGUUUUGGAAACCAAGCCAGACCUGGACUUUCAAUCCAAUAAUCGUUCUCAUUCCAAGGAGAGGACCACCUCUCUCCAUGUCCUAAACGCUGAAACCAUGUGGAGCUGCGGCGCUCAGGCGCCACAUACCAGAACGAGUGGGGAAUCGAAUGCUCAAAUUCUUCUUCACCAAUGCGGUAACCCGUAAUCAUUAUCUCCCGAUGAAGUAUCUUGGCCUGGUUGAUUGAUGCUUUCUCUGUAGCAUAGGUUGCAUUGCAACUUUUCCUUUUUAAUUUUUUCGCUUUUCAGCUUUAUUCCGUUGAUAAGUGUCCAUCUUCUCCGCGACAAGUGCAUGAUUGUGUAGAUCUAGGAGGAUAAGGGCAAAGGUAUUAUCCAGAAAAACAAAGGUUGGCUUUUUUGGGUCGCUAACAGCAUCUUUUAUCUGUGCUGCAUGUUCAGUUCAUCGCGGAGCCGGGUGUUGGGCACAGGAUGACCGCGAGCAUGGUGAAGGAAGCGAGCGACUGGUUCGACCGCUUCCUGUAGAAGGCGGUUCCAAAUGAACAUGGCACCUUGUACUACCAUGCAUGCCUAAUGAAGUGCAUGCCCUCAAUAAAUUGCCCUCUGAUUUGGGUUGCAUUCCUGCUGACCGAGACCGGAAUCAGUUAGCCCAGCUUGAUCAUCAUUACUUCCACUACCUAAUCUCUAAUGCUGGUCAGACGUGGAACAGAAUUGUGCUCCUGUAUUGUGCUAGUAUCUGAGACCGUAUUUUUUCACGGACUCCGCAUUUACCGAACCGUAUCUACCGUGUAUACGGUCCGUCCGUACGGCGAGUUUCAUCAGAAGAAAUUAAUUUGUCCCCGUGCUCACGUGGUGCCCCGUCGCCCUGCAUGAAUGAAUGAACGAACGAACGAGACGACGAGCCUGCUGUGGGCGACAUGUCAACGGCUACAGGGGCAGAUGGUCCACUGGUAUAUACGAGUAGUAUAAUCAGGUGACGUGGACCCGGUAGACGUUGGUACAAUACUGCUGCUGGUCUGGUCGGUGUGGCCGGGCCAACGUACGCGUGAGCUGCGUGAUGCGUCGGAGUCGGCAUUUAGAGCAUCUCCAACAGGCGCCCAACGCGUCGCGCGUUAAAAAUGGAUUUGGCGCGUGCCCAUCGCUUGGUUUGGUGUGGCGUGCAGCGUUUGCUUCAGCAGCCACGCUGAAAAGCCGCGCGCACAGCUUUAGCAGGCGCGAUAAAAUGCAGCGCGUGCUCAUUCUAUAAUAUUUUUUAAAUUAAAAUUACAUAGAUAAAAAAAUGAUACAAAGAUAUUUUACAUCGGUGGAACUACUACGGCAUAGAUAGAUAGAUAGUUCAACAUACAUAGAUAGAUAGAUAGAUACUACUAAGGCAUAGAUAGAUAGAUAGAAACUACUAUGGCAUACAUAGAUAGAAAACUACUUCAAGUCGCUACCAUCACCAUCAUCACUCUCGUCGGUGUUGUCCGAGGUUAAGAGCCAUAUGUCGUCCCAACGUUCAUCGUCCGAGGUGAAGAACGACCUCCCACCUGCGGAGACGAUGUCGCACUGCUCGUUCGCCACUGCCUUCCGCUGACGCCGGUCCGCCGGCUCCGAGCGGCGCCUUGCCGUCCUCUCCGCACAGUAGGCACGCUCGGCGUCGACGUCCUCUGGGUGACGACGACGCCACUCCGCCAUGGCUCGCUCGUCCUCGGCGACGAGGAGACAGCGCUGCCGCCGAGAGUGGUCGGCACGGUCCAUGUCCGUGAUGAGACGCGGCGGAGGGGCGAGGCGCUGCGCCUCCUCGCGCGUGAAGACGUCCCGGAAAUUCAUCUGCGACCGGGGCCUCUCCAAGCGCCACGCCGCCGCGUCGUACGCGCGGGCCGCCUCGCGCGCGCUCUGGAACGUCCCGAGGCCGAGCCGGACGUCGCCGGACCGUAUCUCGGCGGAGUACCAGCCGUUGGGGCGCUCGCGGACGCCGCGAAAGCCCGAAGCACCCCGGCGGCGCGACGGCAUGGUGGCGCGGUGGUGACGCAGAAAGCGGCGAAGCGGCGAGGUUGCAAGGAGGAAGGCGCGUGGCUGUUCUGUGCGCGUGGCGAAGCGCGAAACUUUAUAAACGCGCGUGAAGCGGCGCGCCAAAUCUACCGCGCCGCGUGCCGCUUUCUCCCGCGCGCGCGCAAACGCUUCCGCGUGCGGUAACUUCCCGUCACCGCUGAAGCGCGUGAAACCAACCGACGCGCGCAAAAAACUGCUUUUACCACGCGGGCGCGCGUUUUGCGGCGCCUGUUCGAGAUGCUCUUAUACCGGUACUCUCCAGCGGAAUCGCAAGCCGGCACGCCGUCGCGAGCGUCUCCAGGACUUUCCUACUUGCCGUAUUAUUUUAUUUUAUCUUGACGUGAAAGCAGUCACGGGGACGUGGUCGUUUUCUUGCAUAUUUUAUUGUCGAAAAAGAGCGAGCACGUACUGUAUAGACGACACUGGCCCUCAUGAUGCGCAAUGCAUACGUGUUCACGAGGUGGCGCGUCUCCUAACCACACACACUACUACACUGGAAUGGCCAAGGCUGAGGUUUGCGUAAAAUUUUCGAUCUUUUCAUUGAUAACAUAACAGUACAGCGAGCACAAAAGAUAUUAAAUAUUAUAUCCGUAGACAUCUAGCGACGACUGUAAAUACCGAAGUGAGCGAAAGACGCGCCGCCGUCAUCACACCUCCCUCGCUGGAGCCGGGCGAAACUCGUUGUAGUAGACAGUCGAGAAAUCAUUAUGCUAAGGCCCCAUAAAACCAGCGCACCAAAAAAAAACAACCGCCGCCGAUGAAGAGAAGUAUAGAUCGAAAAAAAUCCAACAUAAAGGCACACCAACAUUGACGAGCGAAGACCGGAUCUGAGCAGAUCUUGCAAAGACAACCACUGACCGAAUUAUGCGAGAUCCAUCGGAAAGACACCUUCACACGCCCUCCGACGCACACCGUCGGGAUGGGGGCCAAGACUGGGGAUAGAAGCAACUUUUUUUUUAUAAUUAUACUCCCUCCAUUCUGAAAUGCUUGUCGGAGAAAUAAAUGCAUUCAGACCUAUUUUAGUUUAAUUACAUUUGUUUUUAUUAUUUUUUCGACAAGUAUUUUCGGACGAAGGAAACAUGCAUUUAACAGGUGAGCACCAGGAUUAGAACCUGGGUCAAAUCUUUCCCUUUCGCGCACCGUUUUGUUCAAAGUUCUUGGUGCGCGGAAGGCAUCAAAGCGCCGAGAACGGACCCACGCUGUCUCGAGCACAUAGUGGGAACGCUUCUCAACCACGAAUUACUGUACAUAUACCAGAUUAUAACUAUUCAAUUUAAUUAGAAGAAGAUCUAGUCUAGAGUCUAGAAUGAAAACAAGAGCAAAUCAGGACGGCCGACGAACGAGUAGUGUGUUGGCGGGUCAUGCUCCGGCGCAUUCGUCGUCCGGGCAGUGGGCGGCGCGUCGCUCUGACGCCGGGAACGUCCACGGCGCAACGGACGGCUUGAUACCUACAUACAUGGUCUGUUGCGAGGUCAUUUUCCGGCCACCCUUAAUUAUUCAUUCUCCUCUGCGUGCACACAAGAUGCUACUAGUUAGUUAGAUAUCCUCCGUGCUGUGCUGUCCAUGCAUAACUCGCCACGCUAAUUCCCUUCUUGUCCCGUUCCGCCCCCAGCUAAUUCGAUCAACCACGCGUGCUUGAUAAUGGGUUGUACAACAUGAUACUCCUACAUACACAAUAUACACCGACAUUUCCGUUGGUCUCGUUCACCUCACCACUCAUAUGUACUCCGUCUGUUUCUUAAUACAAGUCUUUGUAAAGAUUUCAAUGUAGACUACCCCCUCUGUAAACUAAUAUAAGAGCGUUUAGUAAUUAAUAUAGAAGUGUUUAGAUCACAAAAGGUAGUAAUCUAAAUGCUUUUAUAUUAGUUUACGGAGGGAGUACAUACGAAGUAAAAUGAGUGAAUCUACACUCUAAAUUACAUCUAUCUGUAAUAUACAUCCGUAUGUACUUUAUAUUAAGAUCUAUAAAAAGACUUACAUUUAGGAAAGAGGGGAGUAUGUCGCAAUCAAUUAAUUAGUUGAUACUAUAAAAUACGAAUUUCGGCUAAAUAACACCGAAAACGUUAUAUAUAUCGAUGAGCUGUAUAGUGUAGACGUUAGACGGGAUCUAUACUACACACGACGUGCCACCGAUGAAUGGGAGAUCUUAAUUAUUAGAACUAGAUCACAAAUAAGAGAUACACUCGGUCCGGCGCAACAAAUCCAUCCAUGAUGGCGAUGCUACUAAGACAAGGUGGCAAAGGCAAGUUAAACUAAUGCUAGAGUACUUAGCCUGGAUAGCCAUCACCGACACACGGCACACAAUGGCGAAAGCUUUACCCAAAAGUGACAUCCAAUCCAAGAGCCCGAUUUUCUCGCCAGUGCGGAGAAAAGGCGCCCGAGCAUCGCUCUCCCACUCACUCGCACGUCCCGGUCGCUUCCACCCAGCGCGCGCGAUUGCUCAUCCGUACGCAAAUCGAAGCAGCGGUUAACGUAGACACUCCACGCAGAGUUCUCAGACACGAAGCGAAAUGAAUCUCGUGCAGGCAAGGCAACAACCGGACGGUUUAUUUCCCGGUUUGUCCAACCAACGUGUCGGCUUCGCGAAAGGGACAGGACGGUUUUUGGGGGGUCUCUGUCAGUCCCGGUCUCCGCAUGCAUUGGCUGAUCGGACUCCUUUCAAAAGUUUCACUUGUCGAUCGAUGUGUGCACUGCACCUACUUACUUAUAUUGUUCAUAUUUUUGUAACGUUAUUGUAUGAAUUAGAAAGCUUUCCUUUUNNNNNNNNNNNNNNNNNNNNNNNNNNNNNNNNNNNNNNNNNNNNNNNNNNNNNNNNNNNNNNNNNNNNNNNNNNNNNNNNNNNNNNNNNNNNNNNNNNNNNNNNNNNNNNNNNNNNNNNNNNNNNNNNNNNNNNNNNNNNNNNNNNNNNNNNNNNNNNNNNNNNNNNNNNNNNNNNNNNNNNNNNNNNNNNNNNNNNNNNNNNNNNNNNNNNNNNNNNNNNNNNNNNNNNNNNNNNNNNNNNNNNNNNNNNNNNNNNNNNNNNNNNNNNNNNNNNNNNNNNNNNNNNNNNNNNNNNNNNNNNNNNNNNNNNNNNNNNNNNNNNNNNNNNNNNNNNNNNNNNNNNNNNNNNNNNNNNNNNNNNNNNNNNNNNNNNNNNNNNNNNNNNNNNNNNNNNNNNNNNNNNNNNNNNNNNNNNNNNNNNNNNNNNNNNNNNNNNNNNNNNNNNNNNNNNNNNNNNNNNNNNNNNNNNNNNNNNNNNNNNNNNNNNNNNNNNNNNNNNNNNNNNNGAUAUCGCACCGCACUGUUUGGAGAUGGGCAUUACGCGGAUUAUAUAGCUUCGUUUAGAGUGGGUUUUUUUUUUUCUGUUGUUACUUCUAGUUCUAGGAUAUCAACAACAUACAGAAUAUUGGAUUGCAUGCAUCUUUUUUUUCGCGAAUACGCUUGGGAUUGCAUGCAUCUACCACGCCACUGUUUUCCAAGGGUAUGUUCAGCCCGCGUUUCGACAAACUAACAAAAAACGGAAACUUGUUGUAGAUUCACAAGGUAACUUAAGUUUGAUACCAACCACGAGAAGAUAUCUUUUGUUUCUUUAGAUUUCGAGGUAAAGUUUUGUCAGAUGACUUUGUCUAAGGUUGGAAAAGACUUACCAAGCAAGGGAGGGACAUGAUAUAUGCAGAAGGCUGCCCUAUUGGUUCAAGAUUGUAUAGUAUAAGUGGACUAGUCUAUCGUGCCAUAUUCGUCAAUCUGUUAGGUGAUUUGGCCUCACACAAUAUAAUGCUUCCAUGUUUCACCAGGCACUUGAUCAACCCUAAAAAUUCAAGAGAACCCCUCUUUGUACAAUAAUCUGUGUAUCAAGCAAGAUUUUGAUCGCAAAUGGAUUGAUUGACCAUAGCUUGACUAGUAGAAUGCUAGCAGGUUUCCCAAACUCCUCUGAUAUCAAUAAACUUCAACUUCCAUAUUAACCAUUCCUGCAAAAAAAAACUUCCAUAUUAACCAAAAAGAAAAAAAACUUCAACUAUAGCGAUUUAAACGAACAGUGUGAAGAUGUUGCGUUCACGUCUUGCACUGUGAAUUUAGAAAUGACUCAAAACAUGACGUGAAGAUCGUGAGAGAUAAAGUCUUUGGAGUAAAUUGGUUCAAGAUCCCGAAGUUAGAAAAUAGUUAUCACUUAGGAAAGGCACAUGAUUCAUCAAUCCAUCAAGAAAAUUGACCUCACAUUUUUUCACUAUUCACCAGAAGCUUAACCAGCCUUGAAAACACAAGAAAAUCGUUCUUGUCGAAGAGGAUUGGGUGUCAAAGGGAGACUCGAAUCAUAAAGUAAGUGAUCGACUAGCAGAGAGCCAAAAAUUCCCUGCUUGAUUGAGAUAUGCCCAUUUGAAUCGUACAAUGGGGCUGGAAGUGCAUAUUACUAGAGGAAAUGUUUUCUCAAGGCAACCUAAGCUCCACUCAUAAUGACUGUCAUUGCAUUCUAUAGUAAACCAAGUAAGUUUCCACUACGGUCCAAUAUAGGGUUUGCACCGAUAGUGCAAAACCUUAACGUAUACGUAUGGCAUUGUGAAUGUCGAGCCAAGUGCCAACUAAGAGAUAAACUCGAGAUGUGGAAAUGACUCGAAACAUGACGCAUAGAGCAUAUGAGAGAUGAAGUCUUUGAAGCAAACCGGUUCAAGAUCCCGAAGUUAGAAAAUAGUUAUCACUCAGGAGAGGAACAUGAAAUGUGGAAGGCUAUCCCACCAGUCUACAUCAAUCCGUCCAUCAAAGUGACCUCACAUUUUUUCACUAUUCACCAAAAGUUUGAUUAGCCUUGAAAACACAAGAAAAUCCUUCUUGUCGAAGAGGAUCGUGCAUCAAAGGGAGACUUGAAUCAUAAAGUAAACGAUAGACUAGCAGAAAGCCAAAAGGAUUCUCUAAUUGAAUGAGGUAUGCCCAUUGGAAUCGUAAUAAUGGAGUUGGAAGUGCAUAUCACUAGAGAAAAUGUUUUCUCAAUGCAACCCAAACUCCACCCAUGAUGGCUAUCAUUGCAUUCCAUAGUAAACCAAAUAAGUUUCCAUUACCGUCCAAUAUAGGCUUUGCACUGACAGUGCAAAACCUUAACGUGUAUGCAUGGCAUUGUGAACGUCGAGCCAAAUGCCAACUAAGAGAUAACUUGGAUGGCAUGGAAAUGUCUCGAAACAUGACGUAGAGAGCACGAGAGAUAAAGUUGACUUUGGUGCAAACCGGUUCAAGAUCUUGAAGUUAGAAAAAUAGUUAUAACUCGGGAGAGGAACAUGAAACGUGGAAGGCUAUCACACCAGUCUACAUCGAGCCAUAUUCAUCAACCUGUCUAGCGAAUUGACCUCACAUAACUGUGUCACCAUUCACCAGAAGCUUAAUCAAGCUUGAAACACACGAGAAAAUCCUUCUUGUCGAAGAGGAUUGUGUAUCAAAGAGAGACUAGAAUCAUAAAGUGAAAGAUCGACUAGCAGAGAGGCAUGAGGAUUCCUGAAUUGAAUGGGAUAUGCCCAUUGAAAUUCUUACUCAUGGAGUCAGAAGCGCAUAUGCCACUAAAUAAAAUGCUUUCUCCGCAAACCAAAACUCCACUUGUAAUGAUUGGCAUUUCACUCCAUAUAGUAAACCGAGUAAGUUUCAACCAUCGCCCAAUAUAUUUUGCUUCCACCAACAGUGUGAACAACAUCUACGUGUACGCCUGACAUUACGAAUGUCGAGCCAAAACACCAGCUAAGGGAUAACUUGGACGAUGUGGAAAUCACUCGAAACAUGACGCCGAGAGCACGAGAGAGCUAUCCGGGGAUAGAGAUCCCACCGGACGAUACAUAUAAGACUCAUCGACGCAAACGCCACGUACCCUAUGCGGUAGGUGUCGCCGAACCCCAACAUCUGCAUCGAUCGAUGCAUACAUGCACGACUUAAGAUGGAAAAAAAAGAGAUGGAUGUGUGCAUGCUAGCUCUUUUGUGUCUGCGAGCCCCAACCUCUGCACCGAUCAACACACACGACUUAAGAUGGACGCGUGCAAGCUAGCUCUUUCACGUCGCCAAGCCCCAACCUCUGCAUCGAUCGACACACACAGCUUAAGAUGCACGCGUGCAAGCUAGCUCUUUUGCAUCGUCGAGCCCCAACCUCUGCACCGAUCGACGCACACGAUUUAAGACGGACGCGUGCACGGUAACUUUUUUUAGAAGGAGAGUGUGUGGAAAGGGCUUUGGUGUGUGAGCGGAGGCUGGGUGAGACGCACGCGCGGCCUCGGUCCCGGCGCGGGAGGAGACAUACAUUCUCUGCGCUGCCGACACUCCAAUAAACCAUUCACCCCACGGCGUCCGCCGUGAAAGCAAAUCGCACCACCACCACCUACCUACUGCCCCGAUCCAUCCAUCACCUGCUCCCCGCACGCGCACGCGCCACCGCACACCGCCGCCACGCCGCAGAGGAUCCCGCGCGCGGAGGUUGGCCCGGCCCUUUCCGGCGCGUUACCGCUCCGUCCCCCUCUUUCUUUUAGUGCUCCCUCCCCUGCCACUGCUCCACUGCACCCNNNNNNNNNNNNNNNNNNNNNNNNNNNNNNNNNNNNNNNNNNNNNNNNNNNNNNNNNNNNNNNNNNNNNNNNNNNNNNNNNNNNNNNNNNNNNNNNNNNNNNNNNNNNNNNNNNNNNNNNNNNNNNNNNNNNNNNNNNNNNNNNNNNNNNNNNNNNNNNNNNNNNNNNNNNNNNNNNNNNNNNNNNNNNNNNNNNNNNNNNNNNNNNNNNNNNNNNNNNNNNNNNNNNNNNNNNNNNNNNNNNNNNNNNNNNNNNNNNNNNNNNNNNNNNNNNNNNNNNNNNNNNNNNNNNNNNNNNNNNNNNNNNNNNNNNNNNNNNNNNNNNNNNNNNNNNNNNNNGCUUCCUCCCGCCGCAGGUACGAUCCGGCCGGGCCGGAGCCCAAAACCCUCCCGCAGAGCCGCUCCGCUUCCCGUUUCUUUCCAUUUUCGCUCUUCCGGUUUUCUUGAUCGUGGGCGCUCGCCGGUGGCUCGGGCAGGAUUCAAGUCGGUGGAGAUGAUGCACGGCAAGUCGGACUCGGACAUCACGAGCCUGGCGGCGUCGUCGCCGCCGCGGUCGCCGAAGCGAGGUGCCGCCGGCGGCGGCGCCUACUACGUGCAGAGCCCGUCGCGGGACUCGGCGCACGACGGCGGGGGCGCGGGCGGGUACAAGUCGUCGUCGAUGCAGGCGACGCCCGUGUACAACAGCCCCAACGAGUCCCCCUCGCACCCGUCCUACGGCCGCCACUCCCGGGCCUCCUCCGUCAGCCGCUUCUCCGGCAUCCUCCGCGGCGGCAGCGGGCGCAAGGGCGGCGGCGGGGGCGGGGGCCUCAAGGCCGUGAACGCCAAGGGGUGGCCCGAGUGCAGCGUCAUCGAGGAGGAGGGCUCCUACGAGGGCCUCUCCGGCGGCGACAGCGGCCUCUCCGGCCGCUGCAAGCUCGCGCUCGCCUUCGUCAGCUUCCUCCUGCUCUUCACCGUCGUCUGCCUCAUCGUCUGGGGCGCCGCCCGCCCCUACGAGCCCGACGUCCUCGUCAAGGUAGCACACCCGUAUCCAUAUCCAUUCAUCUCGUGCACCCACCCUGCUUGUUUCACUUCCUCAGCACACUCUGAACUGAAUUUUUCCUACACGAUAAUAUGACAUGAAUUCAAACAUCAAUUGCUCCAGUUUCACUUGUGACUCCGGGUAGAUUGAAUUUAAACACCAACUACAUCACUAAUUUAAUUCAAAUCUCCUGGUAGAAUGGUCAGCAAAGACUCCGAAUUGUGCAGGCAAAAUUUGUGCUGGUAGAUCCAUUUGAGCUCUGUUUUCUCUAGAAUCGGCGCUUAUUCACCGUGGCUCCUUGCUCUGAACUCGAAAUCAAAGGGUAUUUAUCUUUUUACCAUUAGUAGUGUAAAUCAUGUUAAUCUAAGGCAAAGCGCCGCUGACUGAAGAAGAGCCAAAUCAGCUGAAACAGCUUCUUCGCUGGGCAUUUUCUGACCCCCUCUUCGAAAAACCAAACUCCGUUGGAAUUUAGUGAUAGGCCACUAAAUAAGUAUACUUACUACAUAGAGAAAGAAACAUAAAACAAUGACCACGAGGCAAAAUAAUUUAUUACAUUUUUCUUCUGUUUUUUGAUAGAGAUGUUGCCGGCUGCCACUGCAGUCAGCCCAGCUUGUCGACUGUCUCACUCACAUUUCCAAACCUCCCCCUGUUCACAAAAAAGUUUUACAGUAGUUAUAAAACACAGUACAAUGUACCUUUGUACUAUUCUGGUACGGUGAACUUGUGCUGCGGAUCUGAAUUUCUCAGUAUGAAGGUUUUGUAGAAAAUGUUCUACUACUAACCAAGAACUUCUUUUUACUCUGUUUUUGCGCAGAGCAUAGCCAUGGACAACUUCUAUGCCGGAGAGGGCACAGACCACAGUGGGGUUCCAACCAAGAUGGUCACGCUGAACUGCUCCCUGAACAUGAUUGUGUACAACCCUGCUUCAAUGUUCGGAAUUCAUGUCUCUUCGGGCCCUGUUCGCCUGCUCUACUCGGAGAUCGCCAUCGGGGUCGGACAGGUAUGCUCUUUUUGGUUUCUGGGUAACAGCCUAGAGAGAGGUGUUGUCGGCGCUUCUUCUUCCUGGCAAGUCAUUUGUCCAUUUCUGAAUAAUGGUGCUCCACAUCUUACCAUGUGGAGUAUGUGAACAGCUUGAGUGGUGAAUAAGCCAUACUCAUUUUACCUCUGCAUUUCACCACUCAAGUGAAGGGUGAAUUUGCAAACUGCAUUCAAAUACUGAAUCCUUGAAGCGUUUUCCAAUAUGUUGUACUCUUGUUAUCCUUCUCGGAGUAUCGGAUCGAAGGUCCUGCAGAUUUAAACUAGAAAAGGCAGUAAGUUUGAGUCAAGAAAGGGGGAUGGGCAUUUAGUAUAAAGAGUAGCAGGAUAGUAUGUUCAUCAAGAUAUGUGAUGUACUGGUUUGACUCACAAUCACUGGCAAAUUCAAAAAUCUGAUGUUAACACCUCUCCUAUGAAUGCAGGUUCACAAGUACUACCAACCGAGCAAGAGCCACCGGCUGGUGUCGGCGGUGAUCCACGGCGAGAAGGUGCCCCUCUACGGCGCGGGGGGCGGGCUCUCGCUGUCGGGGAACGACGUGACGGUGCCGCUGACGGUGGACUUCGAGCUCGUCUCCCGGGGGUACGUCAUCGGCAAGCUGGUGCGGGUGACGCACAAGGUGCACGUGACGUGCCGCAUCACCGUCGACGCCAAGAGGGCGAGGACCAGGAUCCCAAAGAAGGCAUGCGCCGUGUACAAGGCCUGACUCCGGCGAACCAUUUUCCUGCUCCUGCAGCUAAAAAGCCUGUAUUUACUGUUCUGCUGAAGAACAAUAAACAUGUACUAGCAGUAUAUAUAAGGAACCUGUUUCAGCUUCGGUUUUGUUUAUAUAAGUUACUCUCUUGCGCGGCGGUGGUUUUGUCUAUGAGGAAGUGGUUGUACCUAUGUGUGGUGUUAGGGUUUGGUUGGUUACAAGAUGGUAGUAAUGUCAUCCUGUCUGCAACUUCGCAUCUAGGUUGAGAGAGUAGGAUUGGUUUUGUUGGAUCAUGUUUUCAGAGAAACUCCAUCAUUUUUCAGGAAGUAAAAAGAUCCAUCCGGGUAGCUAGAGAGCCACAUGGAUAGUUCAAUGUGCUCAUCAGCGCCUGUCCCGAAGAUGGAUUCUGGGUCUGGUCACCUCACUUGGAGAAGUUGCAUCAUUCGGCGUUUGUUUUCGAGCCAAAAGCCAAAACUGCUCCACACACGAAGAGCUUUGGAUUCAAUCGUCGGCUGCAAAUCGUCCAAAUAAUGUCGUCUGGAUAGAGCCUUGUGGUUUACUCGCUCCCGAGCUUCCUCAACAUUAUGAGGAUGGUCGGAUGUCAUAGAGAUGAUAGAACGGCCCGAAUGCCCGUCGUGGAGAUGAUCGAACCAGCAAUGUUGCAAUUGCUUGCCCUCAUCCGAUCGAGAUGCACCUUGGAUUUCUAACGCGUAGAAUUCAUUCUGAAGUUGCACCUGAACUCGCAAUCUGCAAAAGCUGUUAUUUAAUACCCAUUUGGACGCUGCAAAAUCUGUUUAUUUGAUACCCAUUUGGACGUGAGGCACCAGCAGGGAGGCUAAAAAUUCAGAGUUCUACUGUAAAUAACCCAAUAAAUAAUAUGAAUAUACCGUAGAGGCUCUGAAAAAGAUGGCACCUAUCCUUCUGUAUCAAAUUAAACGACAGUUCAAAGCAUCUGCUGGCAAAGAUCAGACAUUGCAACUAAGUACAGCAGGAAGUGAAUCAGACAAUUUUUCUAGAUCAAAUCAACACAAGGUUAGUUUCAGUCUUGAGAUCCGACAGAUUAAACAGAGUGAAUCAAGCUGUUAUAUUGAUAGAAUGAAGAAUUUUUUACCUUUGAUGCUGUAAAUUCCAGACUAAACAGCAUCUCACAGAAAAGAAUAGCUUUGCUUCACUAGUGCAGAUCAUUUCAACAUGACAGGAGCAAAGGACCAUAAACUGACAUGCUCUACUGUUCACUACAAUGACAAGAGGAAUAAAACAUAAAUUCCCUCCCAUGUUUUACUGCCCAUACAAUUACAUAUCUAAAAUGCACAAUAAACUUCAACAUAGGAUACACAUACACUAUUUGUAAAAGAGGGCAUCCACUAACAGCCCAACACAACAAUCUGGACAUCACAAACAUCAAUCAUGGUACAAAUAAAUGGUAGCUCCGUAAAUUUUAAAUAGCAAAGUCUGCUGCCCGUAUGCUGCUACCAACCAUAAACACAUAGUAUAUGUUUACACAAGACAAGCAGCUAGCACUACUAAGUUAACGGGAACAGUUAGCCCCAUAAAGUGAGGUUACAGAGUACACCCGACAACAAAAGAGGAGUAAUACAACAUCAGAAGGAUCAAACCGGAUAGCUGCUGAUAUUACAAAGGGACCUAUCAUUCAACAUUAUCUGAAAGGUCGACAAUGGAACGGCGAUAUGCAAGCCAGAGUAUCAGUUCCAAUCUGCCAAUUCCUCCAAGUACAAGGGAACAUAAGGAAGGUAGGGUCCCACGGAACCAUUUCCAAGAACGCCGAUGAACUGCACUUUUCCACUAUCCAUUUCAUAAGACACGAGUUCUUUGUCAUGCCCAUAAACAAAGAAAAUCAUGUUUCGUCGCGGGUGGUGGGCGACAAUGUGAAACCUGAUUCCCCGAUGUACAUACUUCUCUCCAAGUAGAUCAAAAGGACUAAUGCUGUGCUUCAAGACCCACACUUCACUGCCGUAGUCCUCAAGAACCGAGAUCAAUAGUCUGUGACCAUCAUGAUGAUCAAUAUUUGCUAAAUACAAACGCCCUUGAGACGGAUCAGUGAACCCGACAGCAAGAUCUAUUUCAGGGCCAAACGGAUUGCAUGGCAUAGGAAUAACCCUCCAAGCAGUUCCCUCCACAUCCACUGCCACCACCGCAGACCAGAUGGCAACAAAAUAAAGAAAACCAUUGCCAAAGGCACUUAAACUCGUUAAUCUAGCCGGGAAGCCCCAACCGCUGUCCUUGUGACUCCAGACGCCGGUUUUGGACGAGUAGAUCUCAACCCCUUUGACGUGGCCAUCCCCGUCCUUCAGGAACUGGAACACAUGGAAGUGCGAGGAGACGGCCGGGUCGAACCCCAGGCGAGCUGUCUGUAUCUUGCUGAAGAAGCCCGGCAAUGGCAAGGCAACCCAUUUCUCCGUGGCAGGAUUGCACACGACGUAAUCAAAUGCCUGCGAAUCAGCGGUCUCGAAGCGGCUGCAGAGGAGUAGGCCGUUGCAGCUGUCCAGAAGGUGGAACCUGUCACAGUCGGGCAGGAAGGCGAGCGAAGGGUCGAUAGCGAUAGGAGGGCGGCCUCCCGUGGAGACAUGGGUGAAAUUGCGAAUCAAUAAAUAGUCAGGGCUGCGGCUCGAGUAGAGGAAUCCGGCGAGGUCAUGGAGAUGGUGCUGCGGCAGCGCCUUGCGGUGGUCGGGGUGGGAGAUGAUGCCGCGCCACCGCUUGGAGACGCACUUGAACCGGCACAGCGACUUGUACGGCACGCGCGACAGGAUCUCGAUGAGGAGGUCUUCGGUGAGCUUGUCCGCUGGAUUCAGAAGCCUGCUGAUGUCCUUGGAGUCGUCCGCCAUUGCCGUGGGGAGAGAAGGCGGUCAACCUGCGAAGGGGGGCGGAGGAGGAGGGAUUUGAGAUCCAUCGACAUCGGCGAGGAGAGCAGCAAGGAAGGAAGAGAGAUUUACGGCGAAUGGGGCGCACGUACCGGGCGAGAAGCGAGUGACGGCGAGGGAGCCCGUUUGAGGUGCUCCCGUCCCCGCCGGCGAGGGUUUGGGUACGCGGCGGCGAGGUGAGGUGAGGUGUGGCGUGGAACUUUUUUUUGAGACAACUGGCGUGGAACUGGAAGACGGGGGAAGUGAAUGAGGAGUAUGCUGUGGCGUGCUGGGCUUUUUUUUUGAGGGGUAUGCUGGGCUGGGCUUUUAUCUGGGCUGUACAGGCAGAGGAUAGCGGAGGAGGAUAGCGGUGUGUCCAGAUUUCAGCCUGCACUUCAGCUGUUCUAUAAGAGCAUUGCCUAAGAAUCCUCAAAAAGAAAAAGGGAAAAAGAGCAUUGCCUAAAAAUAAAGGUGCUUAUUUUUGCUGAAAUCACUGGUUAGAGCACGGGUAUACCCCGCCCUGCAAAAGUCGGCCGCAAAACGUUUUUUUCGCAUUUUUACAACAUGACUUUUGUUCCGGCAAAACAGAUCCCGUAAAAUAUUCCAUUAUCCUGGCAAAAUUGCAUACAGUACGACUUUUGUUUCGGCGAGGUCGCACUUAGGAAAGACUGUGGCUGGAGCUGAAAGUUCCCUCCCUCCAAUCGGUUUUUAUUUUCCAGAUCGCUGCAAGAAAUGCCCUCAAUCCCGUAGAUAUGGAGGAAAUGACCAUGCGGAUUCGGGAUCCCACAAAAAAAAAA